GACAGAGGCCUCGAGCGUUUAGGCGGAAUCACUGGGCUUAAAGCGUUGUGUAGGCGGAUCGUUAAAGUACCUUGUGAAAUCCCACGGCUCAACCGUGGAACGGCUGGGUAUACUGGCGGUCUUGGGCCAUUCAGGGGCGACUGGAACAAGCGGUGGAGCGGUGAAAUGCGUAGAUAUCUGGAGGAACACCGGUGGCGAAGGCGGCAUCCUGGACCGGUAUUGACGCUGAGGCGCGAAAGCCAGGGGAGCAAACGGG
rnacentral:rRNA from 1 species